AUUGAACGCUGGCGGAAUGCUUUACACAUGCAAGUCGAACGGUAGAGGGGGCAACCCCUCGAGAGUGGCGAACGGGUGAGUAAUAUAUCGGAACGUGCCCAGUCGUGGGGGAUAACGUAGCGAAAGUUACGCUAAUACCGCAUACGAUCUAAGGAUGAAAGCGGGGGAUCGCAAGACCUCGCGCGAUUGGAGCGGCCGAUAUCAGAUUAGGUAGUUGGUGGGGUAAAGGCUCACCAAGCCAACGAUCUGUAGCUGGUCUGAGAGGACGACCAGCCACACUGGAACUGAGAAACGGUCCAGACUCGUACGGGAGGCAGCAGUGGGGAAUUUUGGACAAUGGACGCAAGUCUGAUCCGGCCAUUCCGCGUGCAGGAUGAAGGCCCUCGGGUUGUAAACUGCUUUUGUACGGAACGAAAAGGUCUCUCUUAAUACGGGGGGCUCAUGACGGUACCGUAAGAAUAAGCACCGGCUAACUACGUGCCAGCAGCCGCCGUAA
rnacentral:rRNA from 1 species